rnacentral:rRNA from 1 species
GACGAAACGCUGGCGGCGUGCCUAAUACAUGCAAGUUGAGCGCUGAAGGUUGGUACUUGUACCGACUGGAUGAGCAGCGAACGGGUGAGUAACGCGUGGGGAAUCUGCCUUUGAGCGGGGGACAACAUUUGGAAACGAAUGCUAAUACCGCAUAAAAACUUUAAACACAAGUUUUAAGUUUGAAGAUGCAAUUGCAUCACUCAAAGAUGAUCCCGCGUUGUAUUAGCUAGUUGGUGAGGUAAAGGCUCACCAAGGCGAUGAUACAUAGCCGACCUGAGAGGGUGAUCGGCCACAUUGGGACUGAGACACGGCCCAAACUCCUACGGGAGGCAGCAGUAGGGAAUCUUCGGCAAUGGACGAAAGUCUGACCGAGCAACGCCGCGUGAGUGAAGAAGGUUUUCGGAUCGUAAAACUCUGUUGGUAGAGAAGAACGUUGGUGAGAGUGGAAAGCUCAUCAAGUGACGGUAACUACCCAGAAAGGGACGGCUAACUACGUGCCCAGCAGCCG